rnacentral:rRNA from 1 species
GACGAACGCUAGCGGCGUGCCUAAUACAUGCAAGUCGAGCGGACGAAUCGAAAGCUUGCUUUUGAUUCGUUAGCGGCGGACGGGUGAGUAACACGUGGGCAACCUGCCCUGUAGACGGGGAUAACACCGAGAAAUCGGUGCUAAUACCGGAUAACACGAAAUGUCGCAUGACGUUUCGUUGAAAGACGGCGCAAGCUGCCGCUACAGGAUGGGCCCGCGGCGCAUUAGCUAGUUGGUGAGGUAACGGCUCACCAAGGCGACGAUACGUAGCCGACCUGAGAGGGUGAUCGGCCACACUGGGACUGAGACACGGCCCAGACUCCUACGGGAGGCAGCAGUAGGGAAUCUUCCGCAAUGGACGAAAGUCUGACGGAGCAACGCCGCGUGAGCGAAGAAGGCCUUCGGGUCGUAAAGCUCUGUUGUUAGGGAAGAACAAGUAACGCAGUAACUGGCGUUACCGUGACGGUACCUAACGAGAAAGCCACGGCUAACUACGUG